rnacentral:rRNA from 1 species
AAGAGCUUGGUCUCGGGUGACAAGCGGGGACGGGUGAGUAAUGUCUGGGAAACUGCCUGAUGGAGGGGGAUAACUACUGGAAACGGUAGCUAAUACCGCAUAAUGUCGCAAGAGCAAAGUGGGGGACCUUCGGGCCUCUUGCCAUCUCAUGUGCCCAGAUGGGAUUAGCUAGUAGGUGGGGUAACGGCUCACCUAUGCGACAAUCCCUAGCUGGUCUGAGAGGAUGACCAGCCACACUGGAACUGAGACACGGUCCACACUCCUACGGGAGGCGGCAGUGGGGAAUAUUGCGCAAUGGGCGCAAGCCUGAUGCACCCAUGCCCCGUGUGUGAAAAAAGCCUUCUGGUUGUAAAGCACUUUCUCCGGGGAGGAAAGGGGUGAGGUUAAUAACCUUGUCCAUUGACGUUACCCCCACAAAAAACACCGGCUAACUCCGUGCCACCAGCCGCGGUAAUACGGAGGGUGCAAGCGUUAAUCGCAAUUACUGGGCGUAAAGCGCACGCACGCGGUCUGUCAAGUCUGAUGUGAAAUCCCCGGGCUCUACCUGGGAACUGCGUUCGAAACUGUGAGGCUAGAGUCUUGUAUAGGGGGGUAGAAUUCUCGGUGUAGCGGUGAAAUGCGUAUAGAUCUGGAGGAAUACCGGUGGCGAAAGCGGCCCCCUGGACAAAGACUGACACUCACGUGCGAAAGCGUGUGGAGCACACACGAUUAUAUACCCUGGGAGUCCACACCGUAUACGAUGUCUAUUUGUAGGUUGUGCCCUU